rnacentral:tRNA from 1 species
CCUCCUUAAAAGAAGUGUGAAUCUUUCGUUUUAAGCGCCCACACAAUCUACUUAAUCAGUUCACCGACCGCGGGUCUGUAGCUCAGUUGGUUAGAGCGCACCCCUGAUAAGGGUGAGGUCGGAAGUUCAACUCUUCCCAGACCCACCAGGUUGCCUCCAAACCAGAGGCUUACCAAUCGGGGCCAUAGCUCAGCUGGGAGAGCACCUGCUUUGCAAGCAGGGGGUCGGCGGUUCGAUCCCGCCUGGCUCCACCAGGUGAUAAACGAUAGUGAUUUAGGCCACUAUCGUUUAUUUCUUGACGAAGUCGGGUCAGCGGACGCUCUUUAACAAUUUAGUAGUAGUGAUAUACGACGGUGAAGUCGAGCCUGUUUCAGGCGAGGCUUUACUGGGUAUACCAGCAUUUAUCAGUAGAUA